rnacentral:lncRNA from 1 species
UUUUCUGACAUUUGAAAAGAUCUGAAGAUACGCCCCUUGGAUGCCUGCAGAGAAGCUCUGGGGCUUCAGUCAAUGACUCAGGGUAGCCACCGAACAUGAUGCUCGGGCAGUGGGUGCCACCUGGACUCCACUCUCCCCUCUCUCUGGGAUCAUAGAGUCCAAGGUGUUCUGUGGCCUCUCGGCCAAUCCCAGCAGCUCAGCGUGCAGAAGACCGAGGAGCCAUUGGAAUUCAACACAACACGAAAUAAUCAACAAAUUCGGGGAAUGUUAAUCUGACCAUCACCAGUUACAAAUGAUGUUUCAUGCUACCUUCUAUUCCUGCCUUCAUAAAUCAAGCUCUAAAUCUCCAGGAAAAAAUGUGCUCAGGAUGGCCAGAGAAAUGUCCUUCCAACUGUGCAUGGAAAGGUAUGAUUUUGUGCAGCAGGUGAAGGACUGGUUAGAGUAAGUGUGUGCUGAGCUUUUGUGUUUGAAAGCGAGCCUGUGCACUUCUAACGAUUGGAAGGUUUCCUUGCCUUCUCCGAUCUUACACACAGCAAGGACAGCAAAGCCUUCCAGACCUGCCUGUGACAUGCACUGCACAUUCUAAAGAUGCCUAUGCAAUGGAAAACACCACUGUCUGCUCCAGCACAGCUGCCAUUCUUCCAUCUUAUCGACCUUAAUGCAACAACUCCUCACAGGCAGAGAUUUUAAAAUGUGUUCUUGGCAGAAGAGAGACUCAAAGAUGGGACAAAUGUGUCAUUUAAAUGCCUGUUAAAAUGGAAACAGACAUAGUAUAGUCAGAGGAUUGUGGCAGCUAAGAACAUAGUCUCUGGAGCAAAUCUGCAUGGGUGGCAAUGCCAAGCACAUGAGGUCCUAGUUGUAUGAACUUAGGAAAAGAAAAAGAGAACAUAUAUCCCCCUACCUUUUGAUUUCCAACAGUCUACUGAGAGGCCAAGAUUAUUUGCAGGGAAAGAAAAGGGGUCAAAAUGUUUUGCCAGUAACUCCCAAAUCAUCUACAGCCAAGGAGAAAAGUGUUUCAAGACAGAGGUGCUCAAUGGUAUCAAAUACUGCCAACAGACCAAGUAAUACAUGCAUUGAAGUGUCUACUGGAUCUAGCUAUAUGAAUUUUUAAUUUAGGACACUUAGGCCAUACUGAAGCAAGGUGACAAAAUGAAUAGCUACAAUGUCUCGUGAAUCUUGGGUUUCCAUUCACCCUGGUAUUCAAGAGAAAUUCUUGCAUCAUGGAAGUUGCAGUUGGAUAGGACUUUCUCAGCUGAACACUGUCAUCUGCCAGAGCUUCAGGCAAGAACCCAGAACAGAUGAAACCCCAGACAUGACAAAAUAAGCCAAAGAAUACCAGGCCAAGGUGUGAAAGGCCAGAUGAGAACAAGCAGCGUACACGAUUCUGUUGCCAACAGAUCUCCCCUAACAGUGUCGUGCACCAAAUUUCCACAGUGAAUGUCAGGAAAAAAUGGCAAUUGAGGUGGGUGGUCAAAAGAGAAGCACAGUCUAUGAUGAAGUCACCCCAGAGAAGUCCUUUUUCCGUUUUCUCCUGAGAAAUUACCAGAAGAAAUUAAAAUCC